CUUUCAUCUACAUUGCUGAAACUCAACGAUCAGGAAAGAUUAUGUCGAAGUAUAGCUAUCUGUUAUCACACGAACACCAAGACUCUUCCGUCCGUGCGGUACAACAUGAAUAUCUAGGACGAUAUAUGCACCAGACACUGGUAUUGUACUUUAUAGUAUAUUAUUUUAUAUUUCGUGUAUUACCGUAAUUUACAGCGGGUACAUUAUAAAUCUUAUAAAGACUUUUCAUUGGCAUUGGCAUUGCCCAUUGUCAUUGAGGGCUUUACUUGAAGAAUAAUCCAGCUUAAAGGACAAUGGCACCGAAAAUUUUUAUUGGCUAUUUCAAUCCUACUUGACGACCUAACUAUGAAAAUAUUGUCAUUUCGUUCUCAAACAUUUUAGUCUACGAGUAAAAUGCAUGCAAACUUUGUGUUUCGCCGCCAUCUUGGAAAUAUUGUUUGAAAAAUUAUCUCGAAGGUCAAUGAACUUUGUGACGUCAUUGGAUGGGUAGCACCAAAACUACAAGAGAGAAUUCUAUUGCGUGCGUGUUAUGUUAGCCAAAAAUAUGUCGUUUUGAGCGUUAUACUGGCCAACACUCUUCGCAAUCAAACAAGAUAAGUCUACACUAUCAGAUAAAAACAUAUCGAGCGACUGGGAAAGCAAGGAAUGGCGCAAUUUACAAUACAGGUAAUUGAUCAUAAAAUAUUGCAUUAGUAUUUGUCUUGUUACACUCGAAUUUCUGCGUUUAUUUAACACGGAGUAGGAUAUAUACUAUGAGAAAUAGUGUUACAAACAAGUUACAUANNNNNNNNNNNNNNNNNNNNCAAUUUACAAUACAGGUAAUUGAUCAUAAAAUAUUGCAUUAGUAUUUGUCUUGUUACACUCGAAUUUCUGCGUUUAUUUAACACGGAGUAGGAUAUAUACUAUGAGAAAUAGUGUUACAAACAAGUUACAUACUUGGUAAAACUUUGCUGCCUUUUGUUUCGGCUCAAAAUACACUACGCGCGGCAAUACUCGGUAUUGUUUAUAGUCAUGAAAUUGUGUUUACCCAGCAAAUGACGUCAGAUAAUAUAUUUUGUGGCAUAAAUUAGCAUACGCGCUUAUUUUCAAAAUGGCGG
rnacentral:lncRNA from 1 species